CGAGGGGUAACAGGAAGUGCUUGCACUUUGCUGACGACCGGCGCACGGGUGCGCACCGCGUAUGGAACCUACCUUUUGCAGGGGAAUAGCCCAGGGAAACUUGGAUUAAUGCCCCGUAGCACUAUUUUGCGGCAUUGCAUUAUAGUUAAAGCCUUCGGGCGGCAAGAGAUGGCCAUGCGUCCCAUUAGUUGGAUGGUAAGGUAACGGCUUACCAUGGCUACGAUGGGUAGGGGCCCUGAGAGGGGGAUCCCCCACACUGGUACUGAGACACGGACCAGACUCCUACGGGAGGCAGCAGUGAGGAAUAUUGGACAAUGGAGGAGACUCUGAUCCAGCCAUGCCGCGUGCAGGAAGACGGCCCUAUGGGUUGUAAACUGCUUUUAUACGGGAAGAAAAACAGCUACGUGUAGUUGACUGACGGUACCGUAAGAAUAAGGACCGGCUAACUCCGUGCCAGCAGCCGCGGUAAUACGGAGGGUCCGAGCGUUAUCCGGAAUUAUUGGGUUUAAAGGGUCCGUAGGCGGGCCAUUAAGUCAGGGGUGAAAGUCUGCGGCUCAACCGUAGAAUUGCCUCUGAUACUGGUGGUCUUGAGUUAUGGUGAAGUGGCUGGAAUAUGUAGUGUAGCGGUGAAAUGCAUAGAUAUUACAUAGAACACCGAUUGCGAAGGCAGGUCACUAACCAUAUACUGACGCUGAUGGACGAAAGCGUGGGGAGCGAACAGGAUUAGAUACCCUGGUAGUCCACGCCGUAAACGAUGGAUACUAGCUGUCCGGGUCCUUGAGACCUGGGCGGCCAAGCGAAAGUGAUAAGUAUCCCACCUGGGGAGUACGUUCGCAAGAAUGAAACUCAAAGGAAUUGACGGGGGCCCGCACAAGCGGUGGAGCAUGUGGUUUAAUUCGAUGAUACGCGAGGAACCUUACCAGGGCUUAAAUGCAUAUUGACAGGGGUAGAGAUACCUUUUCCUUCGGGCAAUUUGCAAGGUGCUGCAUGGGUUGUCGUCAGCUCGUGCCGUGAGGUGUCAGGUUAAGUCCUAUAACGAGCGCAACCCCUACCGUUAGUUGCCAGCGAGUCAUGUCGGGGACUCUAACGGGACUGC
rnacentral:rRNA from 1 species